rnacentral:lncRNA from 1 species
AAGCUCCCAACUCAUUCUCGGCUAGUUCCGGUAGCAUUCCCGACGAACCUUCGGACUUCCGUCGAACUCUCGAACUCGCAACAAAUCCUUCGCGCUUGACUCCGACACUUUGUUUCGCUUUAUGUCUUCAUCAUUAUCAUAGUUAAUCCUGCACAAUUAAAACAAAACUUCGAUCGAGACAAUUAAUCAUAAGCAAUUAACCAAGUUGUCCGGCAUGUCAUUGGUCCCUC